GCUUUUAAUGGAUAAUAGUCCUCCGCCAGCUUUAGGAGCUGAACAUCUUGGUGCAACUCCGAGUGAAAGCA
rnacentral:tRNA from 1 species